rnacentral:rRNA from 1 species
GAUGAACGCUGGCGGCGUGCCUAAUACAUGCAAGUCGAGCGAACAGACGAGGAGCUUGCUCCUCUGACGUUAGCGGCGGACGGGUGAGUAACACGUGGAUAACCUACCUAUAAGACUGGGAUAACUUCGGGAAACCGGCGCUAAUACCGGAUAAUAUAUUGAACCGCAUGGUUCAAUAGUGAAAGACGGUUUUGCGGUCACUUAUCGAUGGAUCCGCGCCGCAUUAGAUAGUUGGUAAGGUAACGGCUUACCAAGGCAAGGAUGCGUAACCGACGUGAGGGGGGGGUCGGCGACACGGGAGCGGAGCCACGGUCAAGAGUCCUACGGGAGGGCGCAGAAGGGUAUGGUACGCAAUGGGCGAAAGCCUGACGGAGCAACGGCGCGUGAGUGAUGAAGGUCUUCGGAUCGUAAAACUCUGUUAUUAGGGAAGAACAAAUGUGUAAGUAACUAAGCACGUAUUGACGGUACCUAAUCAGAAAGCCACGGCUAACUACGUG